GAUUUACUUAAUAUAUAAUGUUAACGUAGUAAAGUUAUAUUUUUAAUAUUAAGUGGUAAUGAAAUGUUUUUCGUUUUUUAUGAUAGCUAGUUUAUAAGUGUAGAAUAUUUUAGUAUUGUAAUAUUAAUAUAAUUUGAUUAUUUUAAUAUUAUUUAUUUUAUAAGGGAUAAGCUUUAUAAAAAAUAUAGAAUAUUAUAUAUUAUGUUGUGUUUUUAAGUAGAAUUAAAAUUGUUUUUCUUAUGAAUAUUAAUAUAAAUUACUAUUAUAUAAUUAUUCAGAUAAUAAGCUUAUAAAUAUUUAAUAAUUAUUAGUAAGUAAAUAUAAUGUUAAUAUGAGUAUUAAAAAGUAAUUAAAAUAUUAUGAUUUAUUUAAAUUGUAUAUAUUUAUAAUAUUAUUUUUAGUGAAAUAAGAUAAAGGAAUUUGGCAAAUAUAAAUCUCGCCUGUUUAUCAAAAACAUGUCUCUUUGUAUUUAUUAAAUAAAGAG
rnacentral:rRNA from 1 species